AUGAAGUUGGAGACAGCACGUGCAGCACCCCACUCUGGAAAUAUGGACCAGUAUCAGGAGACUUUAGACCAAACCAUAAAGCUUUCCAGGCUGUCAGAUCAUGAAGCUGGCAUCCUCCUGACUAGUUACAUGAAAACAAAUGGCUUCCUGAAUGGCCAGCAGGUCCCCAGCAUGGAUGGGGUUCCCUCAGCAACCAUCGCUGGCUCCACCCUUAAGCAGAAGCUUCAGAACAUCUCCAACAAAGCCAUGAUCUUCCACUGGCACAUCGACAUGGUAACCAAAUACAUGACUGACAUGUUGGAGGUCUCAGAUAAUGACACUCAGAUUCUUCUGGGCCUCCUGAGGGAUUCCAGGAACCGUCUCAGGAAACUCUCUGGCUGCGUAGAGAUGCUCCUGCAGAUUCUGGACCCAAACACACCCACUUCUACGUCCACUAAGCCCCAAGAUAUGCUCCGUGAUGACUAUGAGAAAAAGAUCUAUGGCUGGGCUGUGCUAAACGGGCACAAGGAAUUUCUGGCCAUUGUGUUACAGGAAGUUGCUGUCUUUAAGGAUGACACUGUGUGAGGAUUAUACAAAGUGGUUGUUUGUCACCCAAGGGUGAUUUUAGGAUAUUUAUUCCAAAAUAAUCAGGUAUUUCAUGUAACUGAACAAUUGGGACAAAGGCCAACCGCCAAUAAUAUAAAUGUGAAAGAGAAGAGUUUGAUUGCUGCACAGUAUAUAUUUUAUAUCUAUUUUUUAAUUAUUUUUUUGUUAUUUUCGAAACAGUCCAGAACACGGUCUUGAAACAGUCUUGAAUCAAAUUCAUUGGUUUGCUCUUACCGUUAUCAAAUUUUGUAUUCAUAUUUAAGCUACUCAGUUCACUCACUUUUUAAGCUAUUUUGUCCCUACUGCUACUUGUCUAUGGAGCCUCAAUUAUUCCCUUAUGCCCCACACAUGGCAGAUACAUUGAGGUCAAUGAGGUAGUGGACAGUAAACCCAGUUUAGGGUUAGGGAUCUAUUUACCCACGAAGCUCAGGAAUUUUGCUCAUCAAUUUUUUUUAUGACAACAUCCCUGGUUGAGGGUAUCCUGGUCGAACGAGUCAAAAUUGAAGGAGCAUCUCCUCCUGACUGAGCUGAUGCACAGGGAUGAUGGUGGUUGUGGUUAUAGAGUGAAGUAGAACCACAGGAAGUAGUACGGGCACUUCCAGGACGAUCAGGAAAUCACAGACAGUGAAAGGUGGUGUCCCAAAUGGCACUCUAUGCUCUAGUGAACUACUUUUGACCAGAGCCCAAGUAGUUCACUAAAUUAGGAAUAGGGUGCCAUUUGGGACGCAGUCACUGCCUCCCUAAUCAAUCACAUCUCAUGACUUCCUCCCUGCAUCCUCACACAACACAGAUAGCAGGCUGACGUCUGUCAGUUUCAUUUUGAUGCUGGAUACUAAAGUGUUGCCUAUGCCAUAGAUGGUCAUUGUAUACUACAAAUGAAUGCAUCCGUGUACUGUAGGUUGUUUUUAACUGUACACUAUAUGGGUUUGUGUUUAAACUUGCCACUUUUGGUCUCUUAGCUACGUCAAGUAGUGGUGGCCUUUUUAUAAACUGGACAUUUGUGUUCAAUUUACACACAAAAUGUAUGUGUUCAAUUUGUCAUGCGAUUGAUAUGAACACCUCAAAAAUAAGUAUGAAAUGGGUGAUGUUCCCUUCAAGAACUGGAGCUGUAGGUAGUAAACACUGUAAAUGUUAUUCAUAUUUAAUUAAAAAAACAUGAAUACUGUAAUGAAUGACUACUUUUACUGUAUUUGUUUUGCCAUUCAUAUUAAAAGCUCAGUGUAGCCAAAAUUCAGUUUUUCCUUUGUUUUGUAUGAAAUGUGUACAACAGCUGAUGAAACAAACACUGUACAUGUGAAGCACGUGAUCAGUGUUAUUUCCCCAAUAGUUGCUGGUUGAAAAUCAACACAGAACUUUAAAUUUAGCAGGUUCUGCAUGGCUGGAGCUGUGGAUUGCCUCAGGACAUCACCAGGCAAAAAUAAUAAAGACUAACAAACAUCUAUGCCAAUAACCGCUCGCUUUCAGGUUACAUAUUCCUACCAUUGAGCUUCCCCGCUUCACUUCUAUGGUAAUGCACUGCUCAGGUCCUCUUCCCUGCUCCAAUUCUAACUGUGGUGUCACACCCUGAUCUGUUUCACCUGUCUUUGUGAUUGUCUCCACCCCCUUCCAGGUGUCGCCCAUCUUCCCCAUUAUCCCGUGUAUUUAUACCCGUGUUCUCUUUUUGUCUAUUGCCAGUUAGUUUUGUUUGUAAAACUUACCAGUGUUUGUUUCCCUGCUCUUGUUUUCUAGUCCCUCCAGGUUUUGACCGUUCUACCUGCCCUGACCCUGAGACUGCCUGUUGUUUUGUACCUUACCCCACCGUUCUGGAUUAUUGACCCCUGCCUGCCCUGACCCUGCCUGCCAUUCUGGACCCUUUCUGGAUUACUGACCCCUGCCUGCCUUGACCUGUUGUUUGCCUGCCCCUGUGAUUGUAAUAAACUGUUACUUCUACAGUGUCUGCAUCUGGGUCUCACCUAAACGUGAUAUGUGGUUAAUGCACUGCUCUGGUCCCCUUCCCUGCUCCACUCAGACAGCCUUAGCAAGAUUAUUUUUUUAUUCCUUUUUGACCAUUUAAUGGGAAACUAAACUCAGCAAAAAAAGAAA
rnacentral:lncRNA from 8 species